AGACCCGAAACCCGGUGAUCUAGCCAUGGGCAGGUUGAAGGUUGGGUAACACUAACUGGAGGACCGAACCGACUAAUGUUGAAAAAUUAGCGGAUGACCUGUGGCUGGGGGUGAAAGGCCAAUCAAACCGGGAGAUAGCUGGUUCUCCCCGAAAGCUAUUUAGGUAGCGCCUCGUGAAUUCAUCUCCGGGGGUAGAGCACUGUUUCGGCUAGGGGGCCAUCCCGGCUUACCAACCCGAUGCAAACUGCGAAUACCGGAGAAUGUUAUCACGGGAGACACACGGCGGGUGCUAACGUCCGUCGUGAAGAGGGAAACAACCCAGACCGCCAGCUAAGGUCCCAAAGUCAUGGUUAAGUGGGAAACGAUGUGGGAAGGCCCAGACAGCCAGGAUGUUGGCUUAGAAGCAGCCAUCAUUUAAAGAAAGCGUAAUAGCUCACUGGUCGAGUCGGCCUGCGCGGAAGAUGUAACGGGGCUAAACCAUGCACCGAAGCUGCGGCAGCGAACGUAUCACCCAAGACAACUUUACGGAGUUGACGAUUGACGGAGCGAAGCGACGUCAAAGCGUUCAUUAAAGUCGAGUUGGCUUAGGGAUACGUUCGUUGGGUAGGGGAGCGUUCUGUAAGCCUGUGAAGGUGUGUCGUGAGGCAUGCUGGAGGUAUCAGAAGUGCGAAUGCUGACAUAAGUAACGAUAAAGCGGGUGAAAAGCCCGCUCGCCGGAAGACCAAGGGUUCCUGUCCAACGUUAAUCGGGGCAGGGUGAGUCGACCCCUAAGGCGAGGCCGAAAGGCGUAGUCGAUGGGAAACGGGUUAAUAUUCCCGUACUUGGUGUUACUGCGAAGGGGGGACGGAGAAGGCUAUGUUGGCCGGGCGACGGUUGUCCCGGUUUAAGCGUGUAGGUGUGUGUUCCAGGUAAAUCCGGUUCACUUUAACACUGAGGCGUGACGACGAGGCACUACGGUGCUGAAGCA
rnacentral:rRNA from 3 species